GACGAUAAUUAUUUAAUUAUUCUGACAGUAGGUGGAGAUUCAAAAAGGUAAAGCUUUCCAACUUUUAAAACACAAAUAGUAUAUUUUGACAUGUGAUUUUGACAAAGUAAAUAGCCUUAAAUCAAACUCUACUAGGUACUCAAGGAGCAUUUUUCUUACUUUGUCUAUUUGCAAAUUUCAGUUAUUUUUGAUGGAAAUAUUGUUUCAUCAGUUUGCUUCUUCUCAAACCCUUCUU